rnacentral:rRNA from 1 species
CGCCCUUAGAGUUUGAUCAUGGCUCAGAUUGAACGCUGGCGGCAGGCUUAACACAUGCAAGUCGAACGGUAUAGGUGCUUGCACCUGACGAGUGGCGGACGGGUGAGUAAUGUAUGGGGAUCUGCCGAAUGGAUUGGGACAACCACUGGAAACGGUGGCUAAUACCGAAUAAUGUUGAGAGACCAAAGUGUUUCGACAUGCCAUUUGAUGAACCCAUAUGGGAUUAGCUAGUAGGCGGGGUAAUGGCCCACCUAGGCGACGAUCUCUAGCUGGUCUGAGAGGAUGACCAGCCACACUGGGACUGAGACACGGCCCAGACUCCUACGGGAGGCAGCAGUGGGGAAUAUUGCACAAUGGGGGAAACCCUGAUGCAGCCAUGCCGCGUGUAUGAAGAAGGCCUUCGGGUUGUAAAGUACUUUCGGUAGUGAGGAAGGUUACUAUUAACAUAGUAAAUUGACGUUAAUUACAGAAGAAGCACCGGCUAACUCCGUGCCAGCAGCCGCGGUAAUACGGAGGGUGCGAGCGUUAAUCGGAAUGACUGGGCGUAAAGGGCAU